AACGAACGCUGGCGGCAUGCCUAACACAUGCAAGUCGAACGAGAUCUUCGGGUCUAGUGGCGCACGGGUGCGUAACGCGUGGGAAUCUGCCCUUUGGUUCGGAAUAACAGUUGGAAACGACUGCUAAUACCGGAUGAUGACGGAAGUCCAAAGAUUUAUCGCCAGAGGAUGAGCCCGCGUAGGAUUAGCUAGUUGGUGUGGUAAAGGCGCACCAAGGCGACGAUCCUUAGCUGGUCUGAGAGGAUGAUCAGCCACACUGGGACUGAGACACGGCCCAGACUCCUACGGGAGGCAGCAGUGGGGAAUAUUGGACAAUGGGCGAAAGCCUGAUCCAGCAAUGCCGCGUGAGUGAUGAUGGCCUUAGGGUUGUAAAGCUCUUUUACCCGAGAUGAUAAUGACAGUAUCGGGAGAAUAAGCUCCGGCUAACUCCGUGCCAGCCGCCGCCGUAA
rnacentral:rRNA from 1 species